rnacentral:lncRNA from 1 species
CGCGGCGCGGCGGGGCCGGGAGCGCGUCCGCGGCGCUGUGCCGGGGGGUGCGGGCUGAGCUCAUCGCUGGCUCCCCGGCGCUCCUUACCAGUGGCUUCUGCGGUCACAUGGGUUAUGUGCUGGAGUUUAAAAGAGCUUAUAGCCCCCGAGCCGGUGUAGAAGCAGCCGGUGGUUGCAUGGGGUAACGCCGGGAGCGGCGGCGAGGACGGCGCCAAAAUCCCAGAUCUGAGCGGCGAGGAUUGGUCAAGCAGCCAGAAGAAUCCCCCAGACGUGGAUGAAAAAUUGGGGACACCCCAAGGACUCUGGACUGGUUGAGAGGCACCCAAAGGAGUCAUCGAGCUGUGCGCCGAUCACUGCACACUGCCAAAAUCCUCUGGAAUCCGCUCCCCUGCGUCGCCCCUUCCCAGGUCAGCGGCGGGCUUCGCGGCAGCAGGUGCUGAAACCCGUCCC